CGCAUAUUGCGCCCUUUGGUAUUCCGAAGGGCAUGCCUGUUCGAGCGUCAUUAUCACCCCUCAAGCCUAGGCUUGGAGUUGGACCUUCGUGGCAGACUCCCUGCACACGGGCCCCAAUCAUAGUGACGCCGUCCCCGAGGGAACCGGUACGAGGAGCUUCUAGUUAAGCAUGUACGCGGGAGGACUCGGUGGGCGGUGGUCGCUAUUUUUUAGAUUUAUUUUGUGUAUACCAAGUGUUGACCUCGGAUCAGGUAGGGAUACCCGCUGAACUUAA
rnacentral:misc_RNA from 1 species